GUGCAAUGGCAUAAGCUGGCUUGACUGCGAGAGUGACGGCUCGAGCAGGUGCGAAAGCAGGUCAUAGUGAUCCGGUGGUUCUGUAUGGAAGGGCCAUCGCUCAACGGAUAAAAGGUACUCCGGGGAUAACAGGCUGAUACCGCCCAAGAGUUCAUAUCGACGGCGGUGUUUGGCACCUCGAUGUCGGCUCAUCACAUCCUGGGGCUGAAGUAGGUCCCAAGGGUAUGGCUGUUCGCCAUUUAAAGUGGUACGCGAGCUGGGUUUAGAAC
rnacentral:rRNA from 1 species